rnacentral:rRNA from 1 species
GGGGGGGCGAAGCGUUGUUCGGAAUUACUGGGCGUAAAGGGCGCGCAGGCGGGCGGGAAAGUCUCUCGUGAAAUCCCACGGCUCAACCGUGGAACUGCGGGAGAUACUACUCGUCUUGAGUCCGGGAGAGGAGUGUGGAAUUCCCAGUGUAGCGGUGAAAUGCGUAGAUAUUGGGAGGAACACCGGUGGCGAAGGCGGCACUCUGGACCGGUACUGACGCUGAGGCGCGAAAGCUAGGGGAGCAAACGGGAUUAGAUACCCCGGUAGUCCUAGCUGUAACGCUGAGCACUUGGUGUAGCGGGUAUCGACCCCCCUGCUGUGCCCGAAGCUAACGCAUUAAAGUGCUCCGCCUGGGGGAUACGGUCGCAAGGCUGA